rnacentral:rRNA from 1 species
GAUGAACGCUAGCGGCAGGCCUAAUACAUGCAAGUCAAGGGGAUAGCAAUAUCACCGGCGGACGGGUGCGUAACGCGUACACAACGUGCCCAAGGGCGGAGGAAAGCGGCGGGAAACUGCCGGUAAUACUCCAUGGUGUUGUUGAGUGGCAUCACUUAACAACUAAAGUACAAGCGCCCUUGGAUCGGUGCGCGUUCGAUUAGCUAGUUGGCGGGGUAACGGCCCACCAAGGCUUCGAUCGAGUAGGGGGUGUGAGAGCAUGACCCCCCACACGGGUACUGAGACACGGACCCGACUCCUACGGGAGGCAGCAGUAAGGAAUAUUGGACAAUGGGCGGAAGCCUGAUCCAGCCAUGCCGCGUGAAGGACGAAGGCGCUCAGCGUUGUAAACUUCUUUUGGAUGGGAACAAUAACUCCGACUUGUCGGAACUUGAGGGUACCAUCAGAAUAAGCACCGGCUAACUCCGUG